rnacentral:rRNA from 1 species
GAUGAACGCUAGCGGGAGGCUUAACACAUGCAAGUCGAGGGGCAGCAUAGGGUAGCAAUACUCUGAUGGCGACCGGCAAACGGGUGAGUAACGCGUAUGCAACCUACCCUGUACAGGGGGAUAACCCGGAGAAAUUCGGACUAAUAUCCCGUAAUAAUAUCCGGAGGCAUCUUUGGAUAUUUAAAGUUCCGACGGUACGGGAUGGGCAUGCGUAACAUUAACUGGUUGGUAAGGUAACGGCUUACCAAGGCUAUGAUGUUUAGGGGUCCUGAGAGGGUGGUCCCCCACACUGGUACUGAGACACGGACCAGACUCCUACGGGAGGCAGCAGUGAGGAAUAUUGGUCAAUGGGCGCAAGCCUGAACCAGCCAUCCCGCGUGCAGGAAGACGGCCCUAUGGGUUGUAAACUGCUUUUCCAGGGAGAGAAACUUACGCACGUGUUGCGUGACUGACGGUACCCUGGGAAUAAGCAUCGGCUAACUCCGUG